rnacentral:rRNA from 1 species
GCAUAUCAAUAAGCGGAGGAAAAGAAACCAACAGGGAUUGCCUCAGUAACGGCGAGUGAAGCGGCAACAGCUCAAAUUUGAAAUCUGGCCUUCGGGUCCGAGUUGUAAUUUGCAGAGGAUGCUUUUGACGAAGCGGCGACCGAGUCCCCUGGAAUGGGGCGCCUUAGAGGGUGAGAGCCCCGUAUGGUCGCACUGCCGAGUCUCUGUAAAGCUCCUUCAACGAGUCGAGUAGUUUGGGAAUGCUGCUCUAAAUGGGAGGUGUAUGUCUUCUAAAGCUAAAUACCGGCUAGUGACCGAUAGCGCACAAGUAGAGUGAUCGAAAGGUGAAAAGAACUUUGAAAAGAGAGUUAAAAAGUACGUGAAAUUGUCAAAAGGGAAGCAUUUAUGACCAGACUUGGGCGUGGUUGAUCAUCCGGCGUUCUCGCCGGUGCACUCUGCCCGCCUAGGCCAGCAUCAGUUCGCUUCGGGGGAGAAAGGCACUGGGAAUGUAGCUCCUUCGGGAGUGUUAUAGCCCUAUGCGUAAUGCCCUGGGGUGGACUGAGGUCCGCGCUCGCGCUUGGAUGUUGGCAUAAUGGUCAUCAAUGACCCGUCUUGAAACACGGACCAAGGAGUCGUCUUCGUAUGCGAGUGUUCGGGUGUCAAACCCCUACGCGAAAUGAAAGUGAACGCAGGUGGGAGCCUUCGGGCGCACCACCGACCGAUCCUGAUGUUCUCGGAUGGAUUUGAGUAAGAGCAUACGGGGCCGGACCCGAAAGAAGGUGAACUAUGCCUGUGUAGGGUGAAGCCAGAGGAAACUCUGGUGGAGGCUCGCAGCGGUUCUGACGUGCAAAUCGAUCGUCAAACAUGGGCAUGGGGGCGAAAGACUAAUCGAACCUUCUAGUAGCUGGUUUCCGCCGAAGUU